GUGAGGAAUUUUCCGCAAUGGGCGAAAGCCUGACGGAGCAAUGCCGCGUGAAGGAUGAAGGCCUAUGGGUUGUAAACUUCUUUUCUCAGAAAAGAAUUAUGACGGUAUCUGAGGAAUAAGAAUCGGCUAACUCUGUGCCAGCAGCCGCGGUAAGACAGAGGAUGCAAGCGUUAUCCGGAAUGAUUGGGCGUAAAGCGUCUGUAGGUUGUUUAAAAAGUAUUCUGUCAAAGAUUAGGGCUUAACCCUAGAUAGGCAGAAUAAACUUUUAAGCUAGAGUGUGGUAGAGGCAGAGGGAAUUCCCGGUGGAGCGGUGAAAUGCGUAGAUAUCGGGAGGAACACCAGAGGCGAAGGCACUCUGCUGGGCAGUUACUAACACUGAGAGACGAAAGCGUGGGGAGCAAAUGGGAUUAGAUACCCCGGUAGUCC
rnacentral:rRNA from 1 species